CCUACGGGAGGCAGCAGUGGGGAAUCUUGCACAAUGGAGGAAACUCUGAUGCAGCGAUGCCGCGUGAGUGAAGAAGGCCUUUGGGUUGUAAAGCUCUUUUGUAGGGGAAGAUAAUGACUGUACCCUAAGAAUAAGGUCCGGCUAACUUCGUGCCAGCAGCCGCGGUAAUACGAAGGGACCUAGCGUAGUUCGGAAUUACUGGGCGUAAAGCGCGCGUAGGCCGUUGAGUUAGUUAAUUGUGAAAUCCCAAAGCUUAACUUUGGAACUGCAAUUAAAACUGCUCGACUAGAGUUUGAUAGAGGAAAGCGGAAUACAUAGUGUAGAGGUGAAAUUCGUAGAUAUUAUGUAGAACACCAGUUGCGAAGGCGGCUUUCUGGAUCAACACUGACGCUGAGGCGCGAAAGUAUGGGUAGCAAAGAGGAUUAGAUACCCUCGUAGUCCAUACCAUAAACGAUGAUUGCUAGAUGUUGGAAAUUUAUUUUCAGUAUCGCAGCUAACGCAUUAAGCAAUCCGCCUGGGGAGUACGACCGCAAAGGUUAAAACUUAAAGGAAUUGACGG
rnacentral:rRNA from 1 species